UUUUUUGAGACAGAGUCCUACUCUGUCGCCCAGGCAUGAGUGCAGUGGCGCAAUCUCAGCUCACUGCAAUCUCCACCUCCCCAGUUCAAAUGAUUCUCCUUCCUCAGCCUCCCAAGUAGCUGGGAUUACAGCAAGCUGGAGUGCAGUGGCACCAUCUUGGCUUACUGCAACCUCUGCCUCCUGGGUUCAAGAGAUUCUCCUCCGGCCUCAGCCUCCCGAGUAGCUGGGACUACAGGCGCCCGCUCCCAUGCCCACUAAUUUUUUUUGUAUUUUUAGUAGAGACGGGGUUUCACUAUGUUGGCCAGGAUGGUCUUCAUCUCUUGACCUCAUAAUCUGCCCGGCUUGGCCUCCCAAAGUGCUGGGAUUACAGGCAUGAGCUACUGCAGUCGGCCCUGUUCUUAUUUUUUAUUUAUUUUUAGAUGGAGUCUCUGUUGCCCGGGCUGGAGUGCAGUGGUGCGAUCUUGGCUCACCACAACCUCUGCCCUCCAGGUUCAAGCGAUUCUCCUGCCUCAGCCUCCCGAGUAGCUGGGACUACAGGCGCGUGCCACCAUGCCCGGCUAAUUUUUGUAUUUUUAGUAGAGACAGGGU
rnacentral:antisense_RNA from 1 species